GAUGAACGCUGGCGGCGUGCCUAAUACAUGCAAGUCGAACGAAGAUCUAGCUUGCUAGAUCUUAGUGGCGAACGGGUGAGUAAUACAUAAAUAAUCUGCCCAUAUGACUGGGAUAACUAUUGGAAACGAUAGCUAAUACCGGAUAGGUUGAUUGGAGGCAUCUCUGAUUAAUUAAAGUAGGAUUUCUACACAAAUGGAUGAGUUUAUGGCGCAUUAGUUAGUUGGUGGGGUAACGGCCUACCAAGACGAUGAUGCGUAGCCGACCUGAGAGGGUGACCGGCCACACUGGGACUGAGACACUGCCCAGACGCCUACGGGAGGCAGCAGUAGGGAAUUUUCGGCAAUGGGCGCAAGCCUGACCGAGCAACGCCGCGUGAGUGAUUAAGGCCUUCGGGUUGUAAAGCUCUGUUGUAAGGGAAGAACAUUCAGGAUAGGAAAUGAUCUUGAACUGACGGUACCUUACCAGAAAGCCACGGCUAACUACGUGCCAGCCGCCGCCGUAA
rnacentral:rRNA from 1 species